rnacentral:rRNA from 1 species
UACGUAGGGUGCGAGCGUUGUCCGGAAUUAUUGGGCGUAAAGAGCUCGUAGGCGGUCUGUCGCGUCGAUCGUGAAAACUUGGGGCUUAACCCUGAGCUUGCGGUCGAUACGGGCAUGACUGGAGUUCGGCAGGGGAGACUGGGAUUCCUGGUGUAGCGGUGAAAUGCGCAGAUAUCAGGAGGAACACCGGUGGCGAAGGCGGGUCUCUGGGCCGAUACUGACGCUGAGACGCGAAAGCGUGGGGAGCAAACAGG